rnacentral:lncRNA from 1 species
GCUUCCCCCUCUCCUCGGUCCCUUUUAGGAGAGGCACGACCUCAUAGCAUCACGCCUCAGCACCAGCUCCUCCUCACUCACCUGCAAAGCCGACCUGAGCACGCCGCGCCACCAUGCCGAGCCUAGAGUUCAUAUCCGCCGCCUCCGUGCACAUCUCCUACUCCCUCUCGGCCCGGUCCAAGGGCAUAGGUGGAUCCACAAUCUCCUUCUCCGUCUCCCUGUAUUUUUAUCUUGAUUUUUGGCGCUUGAAAUCGUAAAUUGGGCGAACUCUGGCGAGCUCCGCCGUCCGGCCAUGGCGCUCCACCGUGGAAACGCACCGCCGGCCGUUUCCUUCUCCUUGGUUGAGUCUAGAUCAUCGGAUCGAGAUCCAACGGCCAAAGUCAUAAGAUACCGUUUCGCUUGGAUUUUUUGUUAAAGAGCCCCUGCUCUUUCCAUGAAUCAACUCGAGGUCUAUGGCGCCUCUGCGUGAUUACGUUUUCCAAUUUCAAAAAGUUAUUUUUCAUUGGUUUACUCAGAAUACGCUUUCUAAUAAUUACAGUUUUGCCACUAAUUUUAUAUUGCUUAGGCCCUGUUUAGAUUGUUGAUGAAAAUUUUUUGGGUGUCACAUCGGAUGUGUCGGAAGAAUGUCGAGAGGGUUUUUAGAAACUAAUAAGAAAACAAAUUACAUAGCUUGUAAGAAAACUGCAAGACAAAUCUAUUAAGCAUAAUUAAUCUCUUAUUAGCACAUGUGGGUUACUGUAGCACUUAAGGCUAAUCAUGAAGUAACUAGGCUUAAAAAAUUCAUCUCGCGAUUUUUAACCAAACUGUGUAAUUAGUUUAGUUUAUUUUUUUAUGUACAUUUAAUGUUCCAUGCAUGUGUCCAAAGAUUCGAUGGGAUGGAUUAAAAAAUUUUGGAUGUCAAACUAGCCUUAUAAAAUACUCGUUUAACGCUGAUUUGAUCCAUUCAAAUUGAUUUAGAUUUAUCUUUGCGAGAUCUACAUGUUAGUAUCACUGUUUCUUUAGUUUUUAACUUUUUUUAUUUUCGUAGUACUUUUAAUUAAUUAUUCUUUUAUAGGAAAUCUUAGAAAAUCCAUAAAUUCUCCGUUUUAAUUCCGGUUUUUAUGAUCUUUAUGUUUAUGUGACCGUAGCGCUGCGUAGAAUGUUUUUAUAAACUUUUAUAUUUAUUUUAUUACUAUUAGUGUACUAAGGCUGGGCAUUCGGGUUACCCGAUUUUUUGGGUCGGAUAAUUCAAAAUUCGGAUAAUGAAAAUUGUUACCCGAUAUUAGUCUCGAAAAAACACUACCCGCAAGUUCGGGUACUCGAUAAUUUGGGUUCGGAUUCGGGUAUUCCCGAUUUACCCGAAUUUUUAAAAAACAACACAAUACGCAAAAAAAUUAAUAGCAAUUUAUAUAUAAUUUCAGCAACAAUUUGUAUAUAAUUUCAAUAGCAUUUUGUAGAGAAUAAUAUAUUACUAGCACUUGUUCAAAUAAAGAGAAUUAUGUUCUAUUAAAUUGAUAAGUUCUAAUAUUUAACUAACAACACAUGAUAAAUACAAAGAUAUAGACAAAUAUUUGGGUAAUUCGAGUAGUUUACGUACCGGGGGAUAUUACCCGAAUUACCCAAACUAAUUUCGGGUAAUCAAAAUAGCUAUCCGAAUUUAGAAUCGGGUACCUCGGGUUCGGAUAAUUCGGGUACGAGUAACGAGUAUCGAGUAAUUUGCCUAGGCUUAUGGUGUACUGUUCUAAUUAUAGCUUGUUUACUUCGUGCAUGAUUGUCUCGAAUUGCUUGCAUGUUGUUGAUUAAUGAUCGAGUUGACAGUGAGCAGUACCUUGGUGAUCAAGGCCAAUCUUUUGAUGAUCAGUACCUUGGUGAUCAAGGCCAAUCUUUUGACGAUCAGCAGGAACCACAUGAAAGCUUUGAUCAAGGCAGAUACACAUUUAAAACAAUAUAUCAUAUGCAUGUGUCCACCUUGACAACCCUAGUGAAAUCAUAGAUGAUUGUUAUCCUGAAUUUUCUUGGUACUUAUUUGAUAUGCAUUUGGGGAAGUAUUUGCUAGUGCUUGAUAUAAUCCAUGAUCUUGUAAGAUAAUUAAUGACUAUGCUUUGAGCAUUAAAAGAUGACUUAUGACUAUAUCAGAUCUUGUCUGUACGUGAUCACCCGGGAUAACAGUGCAACCAUGAGAGCUAUAAUAGCUCUGGCUUUAACUCAGUAUGAAGACCUCUUCUAGCUUGUCAGAGGUUACCCGCAAGGGCGCGAGAGGGCUUGCCGACACGGGUAUAGUGUGGGCCUCUGUCCUUAUGUGUAUAGGCUGUGCGUCAUUGUGCCAUUUGGAGGGGGAGCUUUAUAUCUGCUCGCCAAUUGAAAACUUUACGGUCCUAACUUGUUAGACGAACUUUUGAAAGGUUUCAUAGUGAUCUCUGUCUACCUCCCUUAGAAGGGGGUUAAGAGACUUGCAACCUCGGACUAAGGGGUAAAUCAUGACUCAUGGGUAAAGAUAUACAACCUCUGCAAAGUGUUAAAAACUGGUAUACUAGCCGUGCUCACGAUCAAGAGCGGCCUUGGGGACAUCUACAUUAAAGAUGAUGACGCUUGUUAUGUUAUUAUGAUUAUUUACUUAUCAUUUAUUAGUAUUAAUUAUACUUAUAUUUGAUUAUGUGGUCAUGAGAUUUACUAUGCUACCUUGAUAUUUGCUAAUUAAAGAUAAACACACUAUAUACAUUUAAAAGCUAAAUGCAGUUAAACCAGUGUCAGCUUAUUGAGCCUCACGACCUCCUGGUUAUACUUGUUGAGUACGAUAUGUGCUCACUCUUGCUAUAACACAACACCUCAGAUUAUGCAAAUGAAGAGGACUGGAAUGAUGAUUAUCGUUAUGAGUACUAGGUUUGGAGUCAACCAGUCAACGGUUAUCCCUGUGUGGUGCUUCUAUCGAU